rnacentral:lncRNA from 10 species
UGGAUCCUGGGGACGACUGGCUGGUGGAAUCCUUGCGCUUGUACCAGGAUUUCUAUGCAUUCGACCUGUCAGGAGCCACUCGAGUCCUUGAAUGGAUUGAUGACAAAGGAGUCUUUGUUGCUGGCUAUGAAAGCCUGAAAAAGAAUGAAAUUCUUCAUCUGAAAUUACCUCUCAGACUUUCUGUAAAGGAAAACAAGGGCUUAUUCCCAGAAAGAGAUUUCAAAGUGCGCCAUGGAGGAUUUUCAGACAGGUCUAUCUUUGAUCUAAAGCAUGUGCCACAUACCAGAUUGCUGGUUACCAGUGGCCUUCCAGGUUGUUAUCUGCAGGUGUGGCAGGUUGCAGAGGACAGUGAUGUCAUUAAAGCUGUCAGCACCAUUGCUGUGCAUGAGAAAGAGGAGAGUCUCUGGCCUAGGGUGGCCGUCUUCUCCACAUUGGCACCCGGAGUCCUCCAUGGGGCGAGGCUCCGAAGUCUGCAGGUCGUUGAUCUGGAGUCCCGGAAGACCACGUACACCUCAGGUGUUGGGGAUACACAGUGAAUAAGAGGUAAGCCCUGGCCUCUAAGGGCUCCUAUGCUGGGGCAGGAUUAGGCAGUCCCAGGGACCAGCACCCAACCAGCUGAGCAGACAAUGAUGUCAGUGACAGUGAGGAGCUGAGUAGCCUGCAGGUCCUAGAUGCAGACACCUUUGCCUUCUGCUGUGCUUCAGGCCGGCUGGGGCUUGUUGACACCCGGCAGAAGUGGGCACCGUUGGAGAAUCGCAGCCCUGGCCCUGGGUCUGGUGGAGAGAGAUGGUGUGCUGAAGUUGGGAGCUGGGGCCAGGGCCCUGGGCCCAGCAUUGCCAGCCUUGGCUCAGAUGGGCGUCUUUGUCUUCUUGACCCCCGGGAUCUCUGCCAUCCUGUGAGCUCAGUCCAGUGCCCAGUAUCCGUACCUAGCCCUGACCCAGAGCUGCUGCGAGUGACUUGGGCCCCAGGCCUGAAGAAUUGCUUGGCCAUCUCAGGU